UACGAAGGGGGCUAGCGUUGUUCGGAAUCACUGGGCGUAAAGCGCACGUAGGCGGAUCGAUCAGUCAGGGGUGAAAUCCCAGGGCUCAACCCUGGAACUGCCUUUGAUACUGUCGAUCUGGAGUAUGGAAGAGGUGAGUGGAAUUCCGAGUGUAGAGGUGAAAUUCGUAGAUAUUCGGAGGAACACCAGUGGCGAAGGCGGCUCACUGGUCCAUUACUGACGCUGAGGUGCGAAAGCGUGGGGAGCAAACAGG
rnacentral:rRNA from 1 species